UGGGGAAUAUUGGACAAUGGGCGCAAGCCUGAUCCAGCCAUGCCGCGUGGAUGAUGAAGGCCUUAGGGUUGUAAAAUCCUUUCGCCGAGGACGAUAAUGACGGUACUCGGAGAAGAAGCUCCGGCUAACUUCGUGCCAGCAGCCGCGGUAAUACGAAGGGGGCUAGCGUUGUUCGGAUUUACUGGGCGUAAAGCGCGUGUAGGCGGGUCGUUAAGUUGGGGGUGAAAUCCCGAGGCUCAACCUCGGAACUGCCUUCAAAACUGGCGACCUGGACCUAAGUAGAGGCAAGUGGAAUUGCGAGUGUAGAGGUGAAAUUCGUAGAUAUUCGCAGGAACACCAGUGGCGAAGGCGACUUGCUGGACUUAUGGUGACGCUGAGACGCGAAAGCGUGGGUAGCAAACGGGAUUAGAUACCCCGGUAGUCCCUGAGCGGGCUGGCAAGGCGCAU
rnacentral:rRNA from 1 species